rnacentral:rRNA from 1 species
GAUGAACGCUGGCGGCAGGCCUAACACAUGCAAGUCGAGCGAGCGGCGGACGGGUGAGUAGUGUCUGGGAAACCGCCCGAUGGGGGGGGAUAACUGCUGGAAACGGUUGCUAAUACCGCAUACCAUCAGAUGGCCUCAGAUGGGAUUAGCUGGUUGGUGGGGUAACGGCUCACCUAGGCGACGAUCCCUAGCCGGUCUGAGAGGAUGACCAGCCACACUGGAACGGAGACAGGGCCCAGACUCCUAGGGGAGGCAGCAGUGGGGAAUCUUGAACAAUGGGCGCAAGACUGAUAAAGCCAUGCCGCGUGUGUGAAGAAGGCCUUCGGGUUGUAAAGCACUGUUUGCGGGGAGGCGUUACCAACAGAAGAAGCACCGGCUAACUCCGUGCCAGCAGCCGCGGUAAUAC